rnacentral:rRNA from 1 species
AGUGAACGCUGGCGGUAGGCCUAACACAUGCAAGUCGAACGGCAGCACAGUAAGAGCUUGCUCUUACGGGUGGCGAGUGGCGGACAGGUGAGGAAUACAUCGGAAUCUACUUUUUCGUGGGGGAUAACGUAGGGAAACUUACGCUAAUACCGCAUACGACCUACGGGUGAAAGCAGGGGAUCUUCGGACCUUGCGCGAUUGAAUGAGCCGAUGUCGGAUUAGCUAGUUGGCGGGGUAAAGGCCCACCAAGGCGACGAUCCGUAGCUGGUCUGAGAGGAUGAUCAGCCACACUGGAACUGAGACACGGCCCAGACUCCUACGGGAGGCAGCAGUGGGGAAUAUUGGACAAUGGGCGCAAGCCUGAUCCAGCCAUACCGCGUGGGUGAAGAAGGCCUUCGGGUUGUAAAGCCCUUUUGUUGGGAAAGAAAAGCAGCAGGUUAAUACCCCGCUGUUCUGACGGUACCCAAAGAAUAAGCACCGGCUAACUUCGUG